UCUUUCAUAAUGAGCUGCUUCUUCCUC
rnacentral:piRNA from 1 species